GGGCCGGUAGCUCAGGGGUAGAGCAUUCGACUUUUAAUCGAAUGGUCGCGGGUUCGAUUCCCGCCCGGCCUACCA
rnacentral:tRNA from 4 species